rnacentral:rRNA from 1 species
UGGAUGAUGUGGUUAAUUCGAUGCAACGCGAAAACCUUACCACCUUUGACAUGUACGGAAGCCUUUAGAGAUAGAGGCGUGCUCGAAAGAGAGCCGUAACACAGGUGCUGCAUGGCUGUCGUCAGCUCGUGUCGUGAGAUGUUGGGUUUAAGUCCCCGCAACGAGCGCAACCCUUGUCAUUAGUUGCUACAUUCAGUUGGGCACUCUAAUGAGACUGCCGGUGACAAGCCGGAGGAAGGUGGGGAUGACGUCAAGUCCUCAUGGCCCUUAUAGGUGGGGCUACACACGUCAUACAAUGGCUGGUACAAAGGGUUGCCAACCCGCGAGGGGGAGCUAAUCCCAUAAAGCCAGUCGUAGUCCGGAUCGUAGUCUGCAACUCGACUACGUGAAGUCGGAAUCGCUAGUAAUCGUGGAUCAGAAUGUCACGGUGAAUACGUUCCCGGGCCUU